rnacentral:misc_RNA from 1 species
GUAUAUUUAACUUUAUAGGUAUCAAAACCUGAUUCAACAUUCUAAACACAAUUGAGGUUGUGAAAAUGACAUAGACCUGGGAAUGCAAAAAGGCAAAGCAGGUUUGUGAGCGCUGCAGUGCCAACUCGAAAUGAAUCAACAAAGACGACUCCAGGUCUACAAUAUGUGCACAGUUGGAGAAAUAAAGAUGACAAGCGUGCACAUGCCCCCCCCAAGGGAGACCAGCAACAGCCUGUUCAAGUUUAUUCAAUAAUGAUCCUUCCGCAGGUUCACCUACGGAAA